CCCUUAGAUGUUCUGGGCCGCACGCGCGCUACACUGAUGCACUCAACGAGUCUCCACCUUGACCGAAAGGUCCGGGAAACCUUCGAACUUGCAUCGUGAUGGGGAUAGAUUAUUGCAACUAUUAAUCUUCAACGAGGAAUACCUAGUAAGCGCAUGUCAUCAGCGUGCGUUGAUUACGUCCCUGCCCUUUGUACACACCGCCCGUCGCUCCUACCGAUUGAAUGGUCCGGUGAAGCGUUCGGACCGUGGCCUUUGGACGGUUCGCCGUCUGUUGGCUGCGGGAAGUUCGUUAAACCUUAUCAUUUAGAGGAAGGAGAAGUCGUAACA
rnacentral:rRNA from 1 species